AAAUAAUUUGAAUGUAAAAUUAACCAACAGUUGAAUAUAUUAAGCAUUAAAAAACAGAGAUCGAAAUCGAAAAAAUUAACAGAAAUAGUGGUAGUAAAAAUUGCACUAUGAUUAUGAAAGAUUAUCAUUAGUUUAAAAAAACCAGGGGACAAAAUGAAUAGAGGACGAAAUAGAAGCACAAGAAAGGUAUCGUUAUUUAUUUAAAAUGGGUGCAUAGUGUUGUGCAAGGGAUAACACAUCGCAUAAUAUAUUGGCUAGUACCUUAAAAGCGAAAGAAAAUAGUAAAGGAGUCUUAAUGGUAAAAAUCUCACUUGCU